GCUGAAAAAGUGCCAUCCUGUGUUCCACUUGCCCUCGUCAGUGGUCCAGGACGUGCUUGACAAUGAACAGCGAUGGUGUGCACAUAAAAGAACCCUGGACAGUUGGAAUUCGACGAGGAGCCCAUGUCCCGGGAACCAGGGUAGUCAACACCAGCAAAUACAAAGUGACAUUGAUAAAGGGUUAAAAACCAAAGAAACUGCAUGACAACCAGGAUGAUCACAUGUAAAAGCUGGUGAUGAUGUUGGUGAUGGUACAGUCAAUAUAGGUAUAUUACCACUAACAUUAACAUCACUAUUACUUAUA